CCUACGGGGGGCAGCAGUGGGGAAUAUUGGACAAUGGGGGGAACCCUGAUCCAGCCAUGCCGCGUGUGUGAAGAAGGCCCUCGGGUUGUAAAGCACUUUCAGUGAGGAAGAACGCCUGGUGGUUAAUACCCAUCAGGAAAGACAUCACUCACAGAAGAAGCACCGGCUAACUCCGUGCCAGCAGCCGCGGUAAUACGGAGGGUGCGAGCGUUAAUCAGAAUUACUGGGCGUAAAGCGCGCGUAGGUGGCUUGAUAAGCCGGUUGUGAAAGCCCCGGGCUCAACCUGGGAACGGCAUCCGGAACUGUCAAGCUAGAGUGCAGGAGAGGAAGGUAGAAUUCCCGGUGUAGCGGUGAAAUGCGUAGAGAUCGGGAGGAAUACCAGUGGCGAAGGCGGCCUUCUGGACUGACACUGACACUGAGGUGCGAAAGCGUGGGUAGCAAACAGGAUUAGAUACCCUGGUAGUC
rnacentral:rRNA from 1 species